rnacentral:lncRNA from 1 species
CACACGCUCUGUGGCCUGCGGGUGUCUCUGCCUACAAGGGCGAAUGCCGUGAAUUCCGGGAAGUGUUUUCGAGAAGCCUGAGUGGAGGCAGAGGUAGUCGACUUCUUGACAACUGGCAGCAAAGCUCCUGGCACAGUUCUGCUCUCCUGAUAUCGACGUGCCUUAGGACUCUGCCUAUUCCAUGAGGAGGAGGGAAAAUGACCACAUUCAAUGUGAGUAAGGCUUGUUUUUCUCACUGUAAAACUUCCAUCCUGCAACUCAUAUUGUCAGGUU